GGGUUAUGUGUACAUGUGUGUGAUAAAGCAAUUCAUUGAUUGGUCGAUUAAACGAUUUAUUUAACCACGCAAAGUUAGACCUCGAGGAUCUUUCUUACACUUAACAGCAACCUGUGAGCAGACGUCAAUACUUCAAGAAGUUAUUGUACAUGUAAAAUUGUCAAACUCCCUAUUGUCUAGUCUGAUUCUCAAUGGUUUGAAACUUGCACGUUUAGAGGUGUAUAAUUCGAAAAAAAAUGUAAUUAUUGACAAUACCCACUGCACUCAAAUGACAAAAGGAAAGUUGAUCCGUUUCUUGUCCUUCAGGACUGCAAAGCUUUUUAUCCUUCGCUGCAGAAUUACAUUUUAAAUGGGCAGUUGUUUUGAGAUGAUGAUUGUGGGCGAGGCGCGUGAGCUCAUCGAAAAAUAUGCACUUGCGCAAGAUUUAUGCCUGAAUUGUUAAUAUUACCUUGUAAUCCGAGAUAAUACAUUUGCUAAAACAAGAGUUGAAAAUAGUGUGUUAAUUGUACUGA